AGCAGUCGCCGCGGUAAUACGUAGGUGGCAAGCGUUGUCCGGAAUUAUUGGGCGUAAAGGGCUCGCAGGCAGUUUCUUAAGUCUGAUGUGAAAGCCCCCGGCUCAACCGGGGAGGGUCAUUGGAAACUGGGAAACUUGAGUGCAGAAGAGGAGAGUGGAAUUCCACGUGUAGCGGUGAAAUGCGUAGAGAUGUGGAGGAACACCAGUGGCGAAGGCGACUCUCUGGUCUGUAACUGACGCUGAGGAGCGGAAGCGUGGGGAGCGAACAGGAUUAGAUACCCCAGUAGUCCCUGUCUCUUAUAC
rnacentral:rRNA from 1 species